CCCUUAGAUGUCCUGGGCUGCACGCGCGCUACACUGAUGUGUCCAGUAAGCACCUAACCUCUUCCGAAAGGAACGGGUAACCUUUGCAAAGCACAUCGUGAUGGGGAUAGAUUAUUGCAAUUAUUAGUUUUGAACGAGGAAUUCCUAGUAAGCACAAGUCAUCAGCUUGUGUUGAUUACGUCCCUGCCCUUUGUACACACCGCCCGUCGCUCCUACCGAUUGAAUGUUCCGGUGAGCUCUUCGGACUGCGCGGUCUGCAGUUUCUGCGUUCCGUGCGGAAAGUUGCGCAAACCUUAACAUUUAGAGGAAGGAGAAGUCGUAACA
rnacentral:rRNA from 1 species